UGAGGAAUAUUGCACAAUGGGCGCAAGCCUGAUGCAGCAACGCCGCGUGAGGGACGAAGGCCUUCGGGUCGUAAACCUCUUUUCUGGGGGACGAGUAAGGACGGUACCUCAGGAAUAAGUCUCGGCUAACUACGUGCCAGCAGCCGCGGUAAAACGUAGGAGGCGAGCGUUAUCCGGAUUUACUGGGCGUAAAGCGUACGCAGGUGGCUUCGUGAGUCGGACAUGAAAGCUCCCGGCUUAACUGGGAGAGGUUGUUCGAUACUGCGAGGCUUGAGGUUGGGAGAGGGACGUGGAAUUCCCGGGUGUAGUGGUGGAAUGCGUAGAUAUCGGGAGGAACACCAGUGGCGCAAGCGGCGUCCUGGCCCACACCUGACGCUGAGGUACGAAAGCGUGGGUAGCAAA
rnacentral:rRNA from 1 species